rnacentral:rRNA from 1 species
CCUACGGGUGGCAGCAGUGGGGAAUAUUGGGCAAUGGGCGCAAGCCUGACCCAGCAACGCCGCGUGAAGGAAGAAGGCUCUCGGGUUGUAAACUUCUUUUAUCAGGGACGAAGCAAGUGACGGUACCUGAUGAAUAAGCCACGGCUAACUACGUGCCAGCAGCCGCGGUAAUACGUAGGUGGCAAGCGUUAUCCGGAUUUACUGGGUGUAAAGGGCGUGUAGGCGGGAAAGCAAGUCAGAUGUGAAAACCAUGGGCUCAACCUGUGGCCUGCAUUUGAAACUGGUUUUCUUGAGUACUGGAGAGGCAGACGGAAUGCGUAGGGUAGCGGUGAAAUGCGUAGAUAUUAGGAAGAACACCAGUGGCGAAGGCAGUCUACUGGACAGCAACUGACGCUGAGGCGCGAAAGCGUGGGGAGCAAACAGGAUUAGAUACCCGAGUAGUC